rnacentral:rRNA from 1 species
UGCCAGCAGCCGCGGUAAUACGUAGGGCGCAAGCGUUGUCCGGAUUUAUUGGGCGUAAAGAGCUCGUAGGCGGUUUGUCGCGUCUGCUGUGAAAUCCUCAGGCUCAACCUGGGGCGUGCAGUGGGUACGGGCAGACUAGAGUGCGGUAGGGGAGACUGGAAUUCCUGGUGUAGCGGUGGAAUGCGCAGAUAUCAGGAGGAACACCGAUGGCGAAGGCAGGUCUCUGGGCCGUUACUGACGCUGAGGAGCGAAAGCAUGGGGAGCGAACAGGAUUAGAUA